AUCCAGAUGACGAGUCCUAAAUGGGACGAAACUCGCUCCUUGGAU
rnacentral:hammerhead_ribozyme from 1 species